rnacentral:rRNA from 1 species
CUAAAAACCUAGCCCAACAAACAUGAAUUUUACCAAAUUAACUAAACCCCUCUUAGCAAACCAUUUUAAUAUUCUAGUAAAGGAGAUUGAAAACUUAUUUGGAGCUAUAAAAACAGUACCGCAAGGGAACGGUGAAAUAUUAUGAAAAACUUCAAGCAGCAAAAAGUAAAGAUUACCUCUUGUACCUUUCGCAUCAUGGUUUAACUAGUCUAACCAAGCAAAACGUAUUUAAGUUUGACUUCCCGAAACUAAGUGAGCUACUUCAGGGCAGCUAGAAGAGCAAACCCGUCUCUGUAGCAAAAGAGUGGGACGACCCUCAAGUAGUGGUGACAGACCUAACGAACUUAGUGAUAGCUGGUUGCUCAAGAAACGGAUUUAAGUCCAACCUGAAAGUUUUAUAACCUAAGUUCAUCAAAACAAUCACCUAGCUUUCAGCGUAAUUCAAAUAAGGUACAGCCUAUUUGAAACAGGAUACAACCUAGCCUAGUGGAUAAGAUCAGCCUAACAUACAAUCAAGUGGGCCUAAAAGCAGCCACCUUUAAUACAGCGUCAAAGCUAAAUUGUAACUGAGCCCAAUUACUUAACCCAUAUCUUAAUCCCCUGCCAAUACUGAGUAAUUCUAUAAUAUUAUAGAAAUUUUUAUGUUAAAACUAGUAACAAGAAGAAGAUUCUUCUCUUAAAUGUACGUAUAAAUCAGAAAAGACAAGCUACUGAUGCUUAACACCUCUGAGCAUAAAGUAGUAACUAACCAAGAAAACUCUACUUUUACUGGUGUUAAUCUAACACAAGAACAUUCUAAGAAAGAU